CCUGCUAGCGCCCCCCUUUCCUUUUUCCGUUUUUUUAUUUUCUUUUCUCAAUUCUUUUUCUAAAUUCAUUUGGACUAUUUCAAAACCCAUUUCAGCCUUACCUCCCAAAAUAAAAGUUGUCACAAAUAAAAAGUUCUACAACUUUGGUUUAAAUUAAAAUCCCAAAUUCCAAAUAGAAUUUGAAAGACAGCUCAAAACUAGUUAUAGGUUUAUAAAUAAAUCCAUUUUCAGAUUUUUUGUAUUAAAUCAAUUUCUCAAUUUCUAUAGCUCCAAAAUUUUCAUAAAAUUAUUCUUAAUUCUUCU
rnacentral:lncRNA from 1 species